GGAAUCGAUGCCCAUGGG
rnacentral:siRNA from 1 species